GAAAGCCGUGUGCAAUGAAAAAUGCAAGCACUGUUUUUGGGGAGGGGUUUUUUCCCUAUUUUAUUUAAAAUUUUCUAAUCAAGGAAAUUAUCUACUCCAU
rnacentral:ncRNA from 1 species